GGUGAGUAAUGUCUGGGAAACUGCCUGAUGGAGGGGGAUAACUACUGGAAACGGUAGCUAAUACCGCAUAACGUCUUCGGACCAAAGUGGGGGACCUUCGGGCCUCAUGCCAUCAGAUGUGCCCAGAUGGGAUUAGCUAGUAGGUGGGGUAAUGGCUCACCUAGGCGACGAUCCCUAGCUGGUCUGAGAGGAUGACCAGCCACACUGGAACUGAGACACGGUCCAGACUCCUACGGGAGGCAGCAGUGUGGAAUAUUGCACAAUGGGCGCAAGCCUGAUGCAGCCAUGCCGCGUGUGUGAAGAAGGCCUUCGGGUUGUAAAGCACUUUCAGCGAGGAGGAAGGGUUCAGUGUUAAUAGCACUGUGCAUUGACGUUACUCGCAGAAGAAGCAC
rnacentral:rRNA from 1 species